rnacentral:tRNA from 1 species
AGGCAGGAAACGAGUGGUUUGUGCAUGGUUUCGGCCCAUGUUUUGGUGCAGCUAAAGCGCCCCUGUUUA